rnacentral:rRNA from 1 species
AUUGAACGCUGGCGGCAGGCCUAACACAUGCAAGUCGAACGGUAACAGGAAGAAGCUUGCUUCUUUGCUGACGAGUGGCGGACGGGUGAGUAAUGUCUGGGAAACUGCCUGAUGGAGGGGGAUAACUACUGGAAACGGUAGCUAAUACCGCAUAACGUCGCAAGACCAAAAAGGGGGACCUUCGGGCCUCUUGCCAUCGGAUGUGCCCAGAUGGGAUUAGCUAGUAGGUGGGGUAACGGCUCACCUAGGCGACGAUCCCUAGCUGGUCUGAGAGGAUGACAAGCCACACUGGAACUGAGACACGGUCCAGACUCCUACGGGAGGCAGCAGUGGGGAAUAUUGCACAAUGGGCGCAAGCCUGAUGCAGCCAUGCCGCGUGUAUGAAGAAGGCCUUCGGGUUGUAAAGUACUUUCAGCGGGGAGGAAGGGAGUAAAGUUAAUACCUUUGCUCAUUGACGUUACCCGCAGAAGAAGCACCGGCUAACUCCGUG